GCCUCAAUUCUUGGUCAGAUUUCUUGCUGCAUUGUUUCUACCUUCCCCUUUAUUCAAUGAAUGGAGAAGUCUCUCGUGCGUGAUAAGUUUCUCCUUGAGAACGAGCUCGCUGAGAUGAAGAAGGCAUAAAAAAAUGCACAAGAAAAACAAGCAAAAGUGCAAAGUGACCCAGCAAGCUUCUCAACACCACCCACCUUACUAUUAAUAGACACAAUAGACUCCCCUUCCACAAGCAUUCCGCCAUGGAUGCUCAGGCCUGCAACCUGAACGGAAUGCUGCUGCUCUUUAAGAUGAUUGAGAAUGAGAAGGAAAUAACGUGAAUAUAGCCAAAGCAAAGACCAAACAAGCUGAUCGCUGUCCUAAGGUUGUCGCAUUGCUUCUCUACUGUUAUGGUGUUGUGAUGCUGCCUUUAAGCAGUGGCGCUCAAAUCUACCACUGUGGCACUAGGUGGCGACCAUGUGGCUUUUAGUUUUUGGCAUUGCGAAUUGGUCUUUUUCUAUCUUUUGAUCCAUGAGGCUGGUCGUUGAUUGCAGUGGGUGCUUCACGUGGUAGUUCUGUGAUGCUAGAUUUGUCUUAUCGACUUAGCUCGGCAUGGUUUGACAUGGUGUUAUGGUGCUGGAACUAACAUUGCGAUGCUAAUCACCCGAGAUGCCUAGGCAUUAAGCUCUCGAAAAAAAUAUCACCUUGGAAUUGUAGGCAUGAUGUUGUGGUGUUGGUAUCAUGCAUUGUGGCGCUCUAGCA